UGCUGCUCUGGCCUGGGUUCUCAGAGGUACUUCACAGCUGGCUCAGAUCUGACUGGGCUUGUGCGCCUUGCCGAAGGCAGAAGAUAUACUGGUAGAAGCAAAGUGUGGGGAGAGGUUAGCUAACCACAAAAGAAUGGGCCUGACUCGAUAACCAGGAUAUUGGCUGGCCUUCUCUAACCUUCUUCAUACCCUCACCCUGCCUGCCUUGUCUACACACAAGCGGCACUCUUCUUUGAGUGCUGCACAGAGCCCUCCUUGUUGUAAAAAGAGCAGAUGGAGUCCUCUGCGAUUCCGAAGGACCACUUCUGCGUGGGAAGAGAGGGAGUUGGACAGG